rnacentral:rRNA from 1 species
CAAGGUUAAAACUCAAAGGAAUUGACGGUGACCCGCACAAGCGGCGGAGCAUGCGGAUUAAUUUGAUGCAACGCGAAGAACCUUACCAAGGCUUGACAUUCUCCAGAACGGGCCAGAAAUGGUCAACUCUUUGGACACUGGUGAACAGAUGGUGCAUGGUUGUCGUCAGCUCGUGUCGUGAGAUGUUGGGUUAAGUCUCGCAACGAGCGCCCCCCUCGUUUUAUGUUGCCAGCACGUUAUGGUGGGAACUCAUGGGAUACUGCCGGGGUCAACUCGGAGGAAGGUGGGGAUGACGUCAAAUCUUCCUCCCCCCUAUGUCUGGGCUUCACGCAUGCUACAAUGGCCGGUACAAUGGGCUGCGAUACCGCGAGGUGGAGCGAAUCCCAAAAAGCCGGUCCCAGUUCGGAUUGAGGUCUGCAACUCGACCUCAUGAAGUCGGAGUCGCUAGUAAUCGCAGAUCAGCAACGCUGCGGUGAAUACGUUCCCGGGUCUUGUACACCCCCCCUUCAUUGUCGAAAACUAGUAUAGAGUGAUAUCCCUGCACAAGAA